AGUGAACGCUGGCGGUAGGCCUAACACAUGCAAGUCGAACGGCAGCACAGUGAGAGCUUGCUCUUACGGGUGGCGAGUGGCGGACGGGUGAGGAAUACAUUGGAAUCUACUUUUUCGUGGGGGAUAACGUAGGGAAACUUACGCUAAUACCGCAUACGACCUACGGGUGAAAGCAGGGGAUCUUCGGACCUUGCGCGAUUGAAUGAGCCGAUGUCGGAUUAGCUAGUUGGCGGGGUAAAGGCCCACCAAGGCGACGAUCCGUAGCUGGUCUGAGAGGAUGAUCAGCCACACUGGAACUGAGACACGGUCCAGACUCCUACGGGAGGCAGCAGUGGGGAAUAUUGGACAAUGGGCGCAAGCCUGAUCCAGCCAUACCGCGUGGGUGAAGAAGGCCUUCGGGUUGUAAAGCCCUUUUGUUGGGAAAGAAAAGCAGCAGGUUAAUACCCCGCUGUUCUGACGGUACCCAAAGAAUAAGCACCGGCUAACUUCGUG
rnacentral:rRNA from 1 species